UGGGGAAUUUUGGACAAUGGGGGCAACCCCGAUCCAGCAAUGCCGCGUGUGUGAAGAAGGCCUUCGGGUUGUAAAGCACUUUUGUCCGGAAAGAAAACUCUCGUCCUAAUACGAUGGGGGGAUGACGGUACCGGAAGAAUAAGCACCGGCUAACUACGUGCCAGAAGCCGCGGUAAUACGUAGGGUGCGAGCGUUAAUCGGAAUUACUGGGCGUAAAGCGUGCGCAGGCGGUUUGCUAAGACCGAUGUGAAAUCCCCGGGCUUAACCUGGGAACUGCAUUGGUGACUGGCAGGCUAGAGUAUGGCAGAGGGGGGUAGAAUUCCACGUGUAGCAGUGAAAUGCGUAGAGAUGUGGAGGAAUACCGAUGGCGAAGGCAGCCCCCUGGGCCAAUACUGACGCUCAUGCACGAAAGCGUGGGGAGCAAAC
rnacentral:rRNA from 1 species